rnacentral:misc_RNA from 1 species
UUAAGUUCAGCGGGUAAUCCUACCUGAUUUGAGGUCAAAAUGUCAGAGAGUUGUCCCGUGAAGGGGACGGUUAGAAGCUGAACCCCAUUAUUAAAGCUGCUUCGCAAUGGCGUAGAUAAUUAUCACACCAGAGCUGGUCAACAAAGGUUCCGCUAAUGCAUUUAAGGAGAGCCGACUUCUGAGAAGCCCGCAACCCCCAC